ACGCAAUAGAUACCCAGGUAGUCCACGCCCUAAACGAUGUCUACUAGUUGUCGGGUCUUAAUUGACUUGGUAAACGCAAGCUAAACGCGUGAAGUAGACCGCCUGGGGAGUACGGUCGCAAGAUUAAAACUCAAAGGAAUUGACGGGGACCCGCACAAGCGGUGGAUGAUGUGGAUUAAAUUCGAUGCAACGCGAAAAACCUUACCUACCCUUGACAUGGAAGGAAUCCCUGAGAGAUUGGGGAGUGCCCGAAAGGGAACCUUUACACAGGUGCUGCAUGGCUGUCGUCAGCUCGUGUCGUGAGAUGUUGGGUUAAGUCCCGCAACGAGCGCAACCCUUGUCAUUAGUUGCUACGAAAGGGCACUCUAAUGAGACUGCCGGUGACAAACCGGAGGAAGGUGGGGAUGACGUCAAGUCCUCAUGGCCCUUAUGGGUAGGGCUUCACACGUCAUACAAUGGUACAUACAGAGGGCCGCCAACCCGCGA
rnacentral:rRNA from 1 species